UACGAGAGGCCCAAACGUUAUUCGGAAUUACUGGGCGUAAAGAGCGCGCAGGCGGUCGUAUAAGUCGCGUGUGAAAGCCCCCGGCUCAACUGGGGAGGGUCACGCGAUACUGUUCGACUCGAAGGCAGGAGAGGGAAGUGGAAUUCCCGGUGUAGUGGUGAAAUGCGUAGAUAUCGGGAGGAACACCAGUGGCGAAGGCGACUUCCUGGCCUGUUCUUGACGCUGAGGCGCGAAAGCUAGGGUAGCAAACGGG
rnacentral:rRNA from 1 species